UAUGGUUUUCAUCUUAGGACAUAGUACCUUGCACCAGGUGAAGUCUCCUGGCUCAGGCUGAGUAAGAGAUCAUACGAGAUAAGCUUUUGAGCUGACCAUUAAUCCAAAGAUUCGAAUCACAGAUGACCACAAAAUUGAGGCUUAUUUUUAAUUCACUAGCAAAUAUUUCCUCACAGAAAAACUAGAAAGUAUGACUAUGUAGAACAGCAUCAAAUACUAUAAACACAAUUAAAUUUCUUGUUCUGCUUAUUAAUUUAUUUUCCUGUAAGAAAACAACAACAACAACAGAGCUGUUGGAACUGAUGAAGAAAGACAGAAAAAAAAUAAGAUACUUAGCUGGCAAUUUCAGGUGUUUCUCUUCUCUUUGUCCAAACUCUCCACAAAGCCUGAGGAAUGAAUGGGACUUUCCCUGGAAUUGCAUCUGCUGUGACGUAGUACCUGCUGCACUGGUAGAAUGACUCAGUGGCUGCUCCGAAAAGACCUAGCUGACCGAGAGACAGAAAAAGCAGCAGACUGUUUUGGAGCAAAUAAGAAAAGCAGAAACUGAGAUGCAAAACCAGAACAGAUGCUGGAGGUGUGUGAUAAGAAAGUAAAUGAGCAGCAAGGAGUUGCAGAGCUGAAAAAUAAAAGCAAGACCAUCCCUCUGCUCUGAAUAUUUUCUGUGACACUGAAUAUACCACUGGGCCAAAAUUUUUUCCCACUACAGAUGAUCAAUGCACAGAGUCUUUUAAAUAUCUGCUUGCAAACUGAUUUUCUCCACUCCCAGGCUCAGAUCUGCAGAAGUGAUAAGCACUUUAUAACAACUGAGGGCUGUGAGAGCUAUGCUCUGAGCAGAGUAGCUGCUUUCAGGUGAGUAGGUGCCUCACUUCCACAGACUUGAUUUGUCUGGGAAUUGAGAAUCUAAAUAUCCUUCUUUGUGUGUGUGUGCUUUUUGUUCAAAAAAAUAUGAAAUGGCCCUCAGUUCCAUCUGUCGAGUGGCCCAGAGUUUAUGUUCUGAACUGGUCUCCAGGUGUGCAAUAUAUUCUUCUCAAUCUUUUUCACAAGUCUUGUUACUAAGUAAUUUGCUCUUCGAGAGUGUCAAAAUACACAGUGGAGAUUUUGAUCAAGAGUUUCUGAAUCAGCAGUGAGAUCCUUUGAAUACAUUAUACAGGCUACCACCCUGAAAGGCCUUACUUUUGGAAUGUGUUGUUUUGCUAUUUCACAGCAUGGAAGGCACUUUGCAUGAAAUUCACCAGCUGUUUUAAUUUGAGAAAUGUAUGCUAUAAUCAUUAUCAGUUUAGUCAUUUCUAUAAAAAUUUUCUAUUUCACGUCCUUUACAGUGUGAUGUGACUGGAUAUGCAGGAAGAAAAUUUUCCUCCUCUAUUGUCAGCGUUUUUGUAACACUUCAGUAAAGUAAAAAAAAAAAAGAGGGGAACCUUAAUCUGACUUGGCACCUCUGAAUGACGACCUCUAUGCUAUAUAUAACUUUAAAAAACCCAACAAAAAAACCACCCAAAAAAACCCCACCUAAAGCGGAAACUUUGCCUGUGACUUCAUCAGAUGCAUAAAUAGGCCAUAGAAGAAGGGUUAAUUUGAAGAACUAGUUAUGCAUAUAAUUACCACUUCAUCAGUUGAGACUGUAAUCCUGGCAGGAUAGAAGAGGAAAAGAAUAAAUCACUGGACAUCGAUGUUUCACUUGGCAGUCUUUGCCUACAGAAGCAAUGCUCUGGCUCUAGCUUCCACCAUAGGACAUUUGCCCAGAAUCUAAGCCUUACAAGUGAGCCUUCUUUGUCCUACACCAUCCUCAUUUUCUGGACCCAAAAAGUCAGGUGUUAACAGCUGUUUGGAGAAGCAGAACUCCAGGAAGGUAGCUUAUAAACAAAGAAUUGACUUUAGCAAAAUAUUUUAGCUAAACCCAAAGAUUUUUUAGUUGAAUUUUGGGUUUCCUUGUACCUCUGUAUGAUAAAUAUCUGUCUAAUUAUAAUAAAAACAUAUCUAAUUA